rnacentral:rRNA from 1 species
GGCGAACGGGUGAGUAACACGCGGGUGAUCUGCCCUGCACUCUGGGAUAAGCCUGGGAAACUGGGUCUAAUACCGGAUAGGACCAUGCUUUAGUGUGUGUGGUGGAAAGUUUUUCGGUGUAGGAUGAGCCCGCGGCCUAUCAGCUUGUUGGUGGGGUAAUGGCCUACCAAGGCGGCGACGGGUAGCCGGACUGAGAGGUUGGUCGGCCACAUUGGGACUGAGAUACGGCCCAG